rnacentral:rRNA from 1 species
AUUGAACGCUGGCGGCAUGCCUUACACAUGCGAGUCGAACGGUAACAGGUCUUCGGAUGCUGACGAGUGGCGAACGGGUGAGUAAUACAUCGGAACGUGCCUAGUAGUGGGGGAUAACUACUCGAAAGAGUGGCUAAUACCGCAUGAGAUCUACGGAUGAAAGCAGGGGAUCGCAAGACCUUGUGCUACUAGAGCGGCCGAUGGCAGAUUAGGUAGUUGGUGGGAUAAAAGCUUACCAAGCCGACGAUCUGUAGCUGGUCUGAGAGGACGAUCAGCCACACUGGGACUGAGACACGGCCCAGACUCCUACGGGAGUCAGCAGUGGGGAAUUUUGGACAAUGGGCGAAAGCCUGAUCCAGCAAUGCCGCGUGCAGGAUGAAGGCCUUCGGGUUGUAAACUGCUUUUGUACGGAACGAAAAGCCCCGGGUUAAUACCCUGGGGUCAUGACGGUACCGUAAGAAUAAGCACCGGCUAACUACGUGCCAGCCGCCGCGGUAA